GACGAACGCUGGCGGCGUGCUUAACACAUGCAAGUCAAACGGAAAGGCCCUGCUUGCAGGGUGCUCGAGUGGCGAACGGGUGAGUAACACGUGGGUGAUCUGCCCCUUACUUUGGGAUAAGCCUGGGAAACUGGGUCUAAUACUGGAUAGGACCAUGCUGUAGGUGGUGUGGUGGAAAGAUUAGUUUCGGUAAGGGAUGAGCUCGCGGCCUAUCAGCUUGUUGGUGGGGUAAUGGCCUACCAAGGCGUCGACGGGUAGCCGGCCUGAGAGGGUGGACGGCCACAUUGGGACUGAGAUACGGCCCAGACUCCUACGGGAGGCAGCAGUGGGGAAUAUUGCACAAUGGGCGCAAGCCUGAUGCAGCGACGCCGCGUGGGGGAUGACGGCCUUCGGGUUGUAAACUCCUUUCAGCCAUGACGAAGCCCUUGUGGUGACGGUAGUGGUAGAAGAAGCACCGGCUAACUACGUG
rnacentral:rRNA from 1 species